ACGCUCGACACCUACGGGGCAGCAGUGGGGAAUAUUGCACAAUGGGGGAAACCCUGAUGCAGCGACGCCGCGUGAGCGAAGAAGUAUUUCGGUAUGUAAAGCUCUAUCAGCAGGGAAGAAACUGACGGUACCUGACUAAGAAGCACCGGCUAAAUACGNGCCAGCAGCCGCGGUAAUCUGAGCGGGCUGGCAAGGC
rnacentral:rRNA from 1 species